AUGGUGCAUGAAUCGAUUUUUGUGGAUUCUCAGCUGAGGCACAUGCCUGAACACCGCCAUGGCUGUCUCAAGAGUGUGAAGAUCUGUGGUUUCAGCUCUGCGAAGUGCUUGAUUGAACUGGCAUGUUAUAUCCUCAAGAACGUGGUGUCACUCAAGUGCCUUACACUGGACACCCUUUAUGGGCAGAGGUGUGAUGAUGAAGGCGAUUAUGAUUGGUGUAUUCCCAUGCCGGAUAGCGUUCUCGUGGAAACCCCUAGGGCGCUCUCGGCUAUCAGAACGUACAUUGAGAAUAAAGUUCCAUCUGGAGUUAAGUUGACUGUCAUGGAGCUUUGCAGCCAGUGCCCUGCUAGAGGACUACGGCGGGUAUUAUCACAGUCGAGCAAUAUGGUGCGGUUUCCACUUUGUUUGUUUGUUGAACUAUUUAUGGCUGUGGCUCAGUGUAGUGUACCAAAUUUUUAA
rnacentral:rRNA from 1 species